rnacentral:rRNA from 1 species
GGGAGCAAACAGGAUUAGAUACCCUGGUAGUCCACGCCGUAAACGAUGUCGACUUGGAGGUUGUGCCCUUGAGGCGUGGCUUCCGGAGCUAACGCGUUAAGUCGACCGCCUGGGGAGUACGGCCGCAAGGUUAAAACUCAAAUGAAUUGACGGGGGCCCGCACAAGCGGUGGAGCAUGUGGUUUAAUUCGAUGCAACGCGAAGAACCUUACCUGGUCUUGACAUCCACGGAACUUUCCAGAGAUGAGAAGGUGCCUUCGGGAACCGUGAGACAGGUGCUGCAUGGCUGUCGUCAGCUCGUGUUGUGAAAUGUUGGGUUAAGUCCCGCAACGAGCGCAACCCUUAUCCUUUGUUGCCAGCGGUCCGGCCGGGAACUCAAAGGAGACUGCCAGUGAUAAACUGGAGGAAGGUGGGGAUGACGUCAAGUCAUCAUGGCCCUUACGACCAGGGCUACACACGUGCUACAAUGGCGCAUACAAAGAGAAGCGACCUCGCGAGAGCAAGCGGACCUCAUAAAGUGCGUCGUAGUCCGGAUUGGAGUCUGCAACUCGACUCCAUGAAGUCGGAAUCGCUAGUAAUCGUGGAUCAGAAUGCCACGGUGAAUACGUUCCCGGGCCUUGUACACACCGCCCGUCACACCAUGGGAGUGGGUUGCAAAAGAAGUAGGUAGCUUAACCUUCGGG